UACGGAGGGGGCAAGCGUUGUUCGGAAUCAUUGGGCGUAAAGGGCGCGUAGGCGGCCGAUCAAGUCAGGUGUGAAAUCCCUCGGCUCAACCGAGGAACUGCACUCGAUACUGAUCGGCUCGAGUCCGGGAGGGGAUGGUGGAAUUCCUAGUGUAGCGGUGAAAUGCGUAGAUAUUGGGAAGAACACCGGUGGCGAAGGCGGCCAUCUGGGCCGGAACUGACGCUGAGGCGCGAAAGCCAGGGGAGCGAAUGGG
rnacentral:rRNA from 1 species